UUAAUUAUCAGAAAAAUUAUUUGGUAAUUUAAGCAAUAUGAUUCAUUAAAGCAACUUGUCCACUUUUGAAUCAUCCCUAGGUAUUAAAAUAAUCGUUUUGAGUAGCUAAGCAUGAUUAUAGCUGGUCGAAAAGAGACGAAAUCAAAAUAUGUCAUCGAAUUAGGUAGGGUUGAUUAUUAUUGUUUCCUCGUGCAACUCAGAAUCGAAAAAUUCAAUACCUAACGGACAUAAGGUCCACACUGUAAAUAUUAUACUAAAAUUAUAAUAUUAAAAUGUACAGGUGGAUACAUUAUUGUAGAAAUCAUAAAAACAUCAAUUGUAUAUAAAUAAUUAAUAAUUAUAUCAAAUAUAGUAUAUAACUAUAUAGUUAAAUUGGUGCGAUUCGGUGGGUGAAUGAUAUAGUCAACAUUUUAUCAGUCAUUCCGGGUUGGUCGAAUUGCACUUUUUACCUAAAUUAAAUAACCGAACUGCACGCGGGUCAAAAAAAGUUUUAAAAACACUAAUUUCCCUGACCACUUACAGGUUUAGAACUGCAAUGAUUUUAAUCAUUGGCGAGGUUAAAAAAUUAAUUUUCUCUUAAUUUAUGUGUAUAUUUGUAUACCUAAUUAAAAUGUG